UACGGAGGGUGCAAGCGUUAAUCGGAAUUACUGGGCGUAAAGAGUGCGUAGGUGGUUAAUUAAGUUAUCUGUGAAAUCCCUGGGCUCAACCUGGGCAGGUCAGAUGAUACUGCUUGACUCGAGUACGGGAGAGGGUAGUGGAAUUUCCGGUGUAGCGGUGAAAUGCGUAGAGAUCGGAAGGAACACCAGUGGCGAAGGCGGCUACCUGGCCUGAUACUGACACUGAGGCACGAAAGCGUGGGGAGCAAACAGG
rnacentral:rRNA from 1 species